UAGGGAAUCUUCCACAAUGGACGCAAGUCUGAUGGAGCAACGCCGCGUGAGUGAAGAAGGUUUUCGGACCGUAAAGCUCUGUUGUUGGUGAAGAAGGAUAGAGGUAGUAACUGGCCUUUAUUUGACGGUAAUCAACCAGAAAGUCACGGCUAACUACGUGCCAGCAGCCGCGGUAAUACGUAGGUGGCAAGCGUUGUCCGGAUUUAUUGGGCGUAAAGCGAGCGCAGGCGGAAGAAUAAGUCUGAUGUGAAAGCCCUCGGCCUAACCGAGGAAUUGCAUCGGAAACUGUUUUCUUGAGUGCAGAAGAGGAGAGUAGAACUCCAUGUGUAGCGGUGGAAUGCGUAGAUAUAUGGAAGAAUACCAGUGGCGAAGGCGGCUCUCUGGUCUGCAACUGACGCUGAGGCUCGAAAGCAUGGGUAGCGAACAGGAUUAGAUACCCUGGUAGUCCAUGCCGUAAACGAUGAGUGCUAAGUGUUGGGAGGCUUCCGCCUCUCAGUGCUGCAGCUAACGCAUUAAGCACUCCGCCUGGGGGAGUACGACCGCAAGGUUGAAAC
rnacentral:rRNA from 1 species